GCGUAGCUCCGGAGGGAUGGGCCCGGUGGGAUGGUCCAGGUGGGAGGGUCCUGCCGCACAAGGGCGGAUCUUCCUCUGCCUCCCCGAGCCAGGCUCCGCGUACAACAGCCGGCUACCCCUCCACUUCUGAGCCCGCCGGCUUGGCAAGCUGGGUGGGAGCCUCGCUCGCAGCCUAGAAAGCCAACCGUAUCCCGAGCUCCAUCCAAAGCAGCGCAGCCACCAGGACGACAUAGGUGAUUCUGCGCCUCUAAUCUGCCCUGAUUUAAAAUGGGAAACAACCUACCCUUUCUCCACCUGAAAGCUGAGCAAGUGUUAUGAAAACAACAGUUCAUGUAGGAAUUCACCAUCUGCAGCUAUAGAGGAUAUGGCCGUGGAACUUUUGGCACUCAAAAUGGCACGUGCAAUGUAUUCAAGACGCUGCUGAAGAGAAAUUUCUGUGCUGCAAAACAAAUAUUUCAAACAGGAUGGGUACUUUACAUAAUUAUUUGAGGAUUAGUUACAUUUUAACUUGACCUUGGGAAUUAGCAUGUGGCUUUUCCUGAUUUUACUAAAUUGUGCAGGAUAUGGUCCAUCCAUGUAACCCCACCUUUGCUGCAGGCUCAGUUCUAAUGUAUUUCUUAACUCAUUGCUCCAGUUAAACUAUUGCAUUAUAAAAAUCUGUGUAAGAAAUGACCACUUAAUAUACGGUACUUACAACACGAAAUACAUAGCAAACUCAUGUAUAAUACAUAAAAUAAACAUUACAAUUUCUUUCCAAUAACUGUCUGGAUUCAAAGCUAAUAUAUUCUAUUAAAUUUUUUUAGAAAACCUC